GACGAACGCUGGCGGCGUGCUUAACACAUGCAAGUCGAACGGAAAGGCCCUGCUUUUGUGGGGUGCUCGAGUGGCGAACGGGUGAGUAACACGUGAGUAACCUGCCCUUGACUUUGGGAUAACUUCAUGCAACUGGGUCUAAUACCGGAUAGGAGCUCCUGCUGCAUGGUGGGGGUUGGAAGGUUUCGGCGGUUGGGGAUGGACUCGCGGCUUAUCAGCUUGUUGGUGGGGUAGUGGCUUACCAAGGCUUUGACGGGUAGCCGGCCUGAGAGGGUGACCUGCCACAUUGGGACGGAGAUACGGCACAGACUAGUCUGGGAGGCAGCAGUGGGGAAUAGUGUACAAUGGGCGGAAGCCUGAUGCAGCAACGCCGCGUGGGGGAUGACGGCCUUCGGGUUGUAAUCCGCUUUCGCCUGUGACGAAGCGAGAGUGACGGUAAUGGGUAAAGAAGCUCCGGCUAACUACGUG
rnacentral:rRNA from 1 species